AAUGUUUAUCCUGGCAAUGAAAUUGAGGCAUAUGUGAUGUUUUAAAUUUGGAAAAAUUAAAUAUAUUAAUUUUUUUUAAUUAGGGCAAAUAAAAUUAAGUUAGUUUUUUUUAAUUAGGGAAAAUAAAUUAACCUCGAACCAAUUUCGUUUUCUUCAUCUCGUUUCUCUCGACCCUGCAACUUCCAUGGCAGACUUGUUUCCUUUUCUUCCCUCCACCAACAGUUGGUUCAAUAACCACACAACAUUCAACAGUUGGUUCAAUAACCACACAACAUACAAGGAAAGGUAGAAGAAAAGGCAAAGGGGUUGAGUCAGGCGGAAGUGUUUUCAUUGAGAAAGAGAUUCUCCCAAGACAGACCUCCAUGAGAUCCACCUGAAGAAGUGCCACCACCAACGACAAUGGGUUUUCUCUUCGCCAGAUCCUGAAGAAGACAGUCACGGUGUUGAUUUUAGACUCAAAGUAGUUUGAACACACAGAGAAAACCAGUAUUAAAAAUGCAUUGUCCGUGAUUAUUAAUUGAAGGAAUAAAGAUGUUAUAAUGAGGAGGUUCCCAAGAAGAGGAAGAGGAAUGUCACCUCUGAUUUACGCAUUGCCGCCUACGCCGCCUAGAUCUUCCAUCUCACCCGAGAGCUGGGGCACAAACCCGACGGCGAAAUCGUCCGGUGCGAAGGUGAAGGUUCUCACAGAGCUUCUGCAAACCCGCAGCGCGGUGACAGAGGUGUAGAAGCAGGACAUUGCCACUGUUGAUGGCGCGACGGCGCUAGGCUUCUACGGCUGGGGCUGUUGUGCGAUGAGCGUGGUGGCGCGAUGGUGGAGAAGAUGAAGGCGUUUCCAAGCAGGUUCCCAAAUUCUAAAAUCAAG
rnacentral:lncRNA from 1 species